CAGUAAGAAAAAAUGUGACCAUAACAAUUUCAUUCUCCUCCUCCAGCGGUAGUAGAAAGGUGUGUUCACUGAUAUUCCACUCUAACCCAAGCUCUCUAUUCCAGAUGUGUUGGUACUCAUCAAGAAUCUCAUUCAUGCCGCUUUUACUUCGAAGAGCCACUUUUGAACCAUCCAAUUUUAUUGUCUGAUCUCAAUCGCCUAAGUCCGAUUUUUUUUUUUAGUUUCUCCGAUGUGAACCACGUCCUCAAGUACCGCUCGUUGCAUUUUAGAACGCUUGCCCAAAAAAAGCGCAAAGCCGAUAAAGUCUGGACAUAUUAGGUUUUGAACCUGCAUUCCACAUUCCACCGUUACGUCAGAACACAGUUAUUAUUUUGAAAACUUCGCUUACAACGUACCGAUCUAAGGCAGCUCGAAGAAGUGGUCAACCUUCAGAGGAAUAAUUAUGCAAAGUGGUAAAAUGUGUUUCGUCAGCAGGAACAUGGAUGACAGUAAUAAUAAUCUUUUGACUGGAAAAUUUUCAAAUUCGAGUACUAAAACUAGUGCCAUUUUGGGUACAACGUUUACGGUUGGCGCAAAAGUACCCCGUACCUAAAAACGCACCGUCAUCCCGUUAGCCGGCACCCGGUCACUUGGUCACUUUACGACUGGAAUUAAUAAUUCUAAUAACGGUACUACCAGAAGACGUUCGUCGGAACCGCCUGCUCGACUUGCAGAAAGCAAAUUUAACUAACAGUACCGAUCCUGACACCUCUAUUAUCUUAAUUAUUUGCGAAUCGAGUGGUACCUGAAGCAGUACCAGCGUCUUAGUAUGGGUGUCACGAGUAUAUGUGUAACAGUUUAUGGAUUGCAGGUGCGGCACUCUCGUUACGCUAGCAGUACUAGUCGGAAGUUGCAUUGUAAUAACGAACGGAAACACCAUCUAACAGUCUGUAACGAUUCAUGGUCCAGACGUUCGUUCUUAGUUUUCGACUAAUCGAGUGGGUUGGUGGUACCAAUGGUACCAUAUAUGGCAGGAGUUUUUGCGUUGUGUCACUACUGCCUCCACUAUUGACACCUACUGACUACUACGGCGUAGGACGUGCAUAAAUUGAAGGUCGUGAAUGGAGGAUGCACUAGGCGCUAAGAAGGCGGUGUGAAAUUCACCCACGCUCGAGUCACGUCGGUCCUAACAAUUAUUUUGGAAAAAUAAAACGUUCUUGUUUCA